GGAAGCCAACCUCAAGAUAAGAUAUCCCUUCAGGCACUCAGCUUGCUGAGUGCCUGGCUGAAGACCCCUCGGAGACUACGAGGUUGAUAGGCCGGGUGUGUAAGUGCGGUAACGCAUUUAGCUAACCGGUACUAAUCGGUCGUGAGGCUUGGUCAU
rnacentral:rRNA from 1 species